UACGGAGGGUGCAAGCGUUAUCCGGAAUCACUGGGCUUAAAGGGUGCGUAGGCGGGCUCGUAAGUGUCUCGUGAAAGCCCCCGGCUCAACCGGGGAACCGCGAGGCAUACUGCGAGUCUUGAGGAAGCUAGAGGCCGGUAGAACGAUCGGUGGAGCGGUGGAAUGCGUAGAGAUCGAUCGGAAUGCCAAUGGUGAAGACAGCCGGCUGGGGCUUUCCUGACGCUGAGGCACGAAAGCGUGGGGAUCAAACAGG
rnacentral:rRNA from 1 species